rnacentral:lncRNA from 1 species
AGCGCGUCCUAGGAACACCAAGCAGAGCCGGCCCGGGCCGCACGCUGCAAACACGCGGGAGGCACGAGCGCUGCAUCCCGCUCCGUACAGCAGCUGACUGGAGCUGGGAAGUAGAGUGCGACCCCACAGCCCGGGCGGCCGUACAUUCCUGGACCCUCCGUGCGCUUACCAGAGCGGUGGCCGGCCGGAUGAUGGAUGGGUGAACAGGUCAGGAGAGCGAGGCGGAGAGGAGAUGGGUGAGCGUGCUGUUCAGACACUCUGCUCUACUCCCAUUCUCCGCUCUGCAGGGUCGCUGGCUGCUCGGUACUUUUUAUUGACAGCUUGUGCCCGCCCCCAGUCGCCUUGAUUGGCUGACCUAGGCCAGGAAACCCGCGCCCAUCAGCUGCUGCGCGCCGGGGCCCUGAGGCCAUUGGCCGAGGAACUGUGCGGGAGCCUCAGGGUGGGGCGAGCGAGACCCAGAAGAAAGAAAGAGAAAGGGGAGUGGGGGAGGGGAGGCAGCGGCGGCUGGAGGAGGGCCAGGGCCGAAGGUGCAGGAUGCAUUUGCAGCUUGCGUUCUUAAGCGACCUCUGGACCCUCGGACCCAGGCUGAGGCUUCCUCAGAGUCAUUUGGCCUCGGCUCUUUGCUUCCUUAACGGUACAGAGGUUUUCGAGGAGAUCUGUCACUGAAAAUCCAGAACCCCAGAAGAGAAUUUUACCCUUUGUUUGUUGAGCGAGCCUGGGGACGGGUUGGGCUGGGGAGAGGCAGGGAGCCCUGAUCAGGCGCGGGGAGAGAGAGAGAGAAACACGAUUCCCAGAACCUGGAGGACCCUAUCUUCCUGGUUUCCUGAGUGGAUUUGGGGGAAGUGGUCAGACUGUGAUUUCACGGUUUAAACACAAGUGUGAUGUUUCUAUAAAGAGGAUUCUGGACGUCCAUAGUC